rnacentral:sRNA from 1 species
GCCGCCACUCGAGUGCGCAGGCGCCUGGCGGUUACCGGUCUCACCAUGGAGCGGAAAGUGCUUGCGCUCCAGGCCCGAAAGAAAAGGACCAAGGCCAAGAAGGACAAAGCCCAAAGGAAAUCUGAAACUCAGCACCGAGGCUCUGCUCCCCACUCUGAGAGUGAUCUACCAGAGCAGGAAGAGGAGAUUCUGGGAUCUGAUGAUGAUGAGCAAGAAGAUCCUAAUGAUUAUUGUAAAGGAGGUUAUCAUCUUGUGAAAAUUGGAGAUCUAUUCAAUGGGAGAUACCAUGUGAUCCGAAAGUUAGGCUGGGGACACUUUUCAACAGUAUGGUUAUCAUGGGAUAUUCAGGGGAAGAAAUUUGUGGCAAUGAAAGUAGUUAAAAGUGCUGAACAUUACACUGAAACAGCACUAGAUGAAAUCCGGUUGCUGAAGUCAGUGAGUAUUAGAUUAUAUGUAUGAAUGUGAAGAAUUAUAAAUAAAUCAAGUUUCAUUGAAUAAAAACACACCAAGUGGAGACUCUUUAGCAUGGAUAAUUUUCUCUAUAAAGUUCUAGUAACCUUAAAGAGGUAAAGGAAGACAACAAUAUUUACACAUACCAUGCAUGUAGUAGGGAACUGGUGGCAAAUGCUAUAAU